AGGCGAAAAAAGGGGCUUUGGGAGUAUUUUAACCCAUUCUUCACAUCCCUAGUACUUUCAACCAAAGCCCCCCGGGAUUAACCUGUAAUCUAAGUAAAAUUAGUGUGCUUGUUGUAAAAAGUCAGCUCAAUCAAAGUCCCUUGGGAAGCAUAUAGCAACACCUAAGGGCUUCUUAUAUAGGAAGCCAGUAGGUUGUUUUUUUUUUUCCUUAAGAAAAACAACCAGAAGAAAACAAGAAAUGCAAUGGGCUAAGGAAACCAAAUUAACGAUUCCAAAUUUAACAGCUAAUAUUGAGUGCCAAGCACUUUACAUACAAUACUUUAAGUCUCUACCAUGAUUGUAGAAGUGUGUAUUAUUCCCAUUUUACAAAUAAGGAAAUAGUCCUAUAGAAUUUAAGUAACUUCCUCAAGGCCAAACAAGAAGUAAGUUGCGGAAGAGUCAGACUUCCAACUGAGGUCUUAUUUCAAAGCGGGAGUUCUCAAACACCAUCAAACACUCCCUGUAUUAUUGAGGACUUGACAACAGACAGAUGAUACAAUGAAUAUUGCCUUUAUGACAGGUUGAGAAAAUAAUUUUAGGCAAGACCGAAAAGCACAGAAUUGAAUGGUAUGGAGUGACAUCAGUGAAAAUGGUAAAGGAGGGAAUUUCAAAACGUUGCCUCCA